CUAUCCUAUUUUUAAUUAUUAUUCUCUUUAUUUGUCCUCAUGUUUCAUUGUUUAGUUCAAUGCACCACGGCGGCGGACUCCGAAUUCAAAGAUUUUAACGAUGUUCUUUUGCUGACAGUGGACGACACGGAGUUUAAUGAAGCGCAAAAAAUAUUAGAGAAUGUCGAAAUACCCAGCAAGAAAGACGAAAGUGAGAAAAACCGGUGUUUUGGAGAAAUCGGUAGAAAUAAAGUUACGCUCUUGAAAGUUCCAUACUUCGACAAGACCAGCACUUCGUCAGGUCAUGACGUUCUGGUUUAUCAAACAAUCCAAGAACUUAAACCGAAAGCUAUUGUUAGUCUGGGAGUUUGCGAUGGUGUAAGGAAAGAAGCACAUUUCCUUGGUGAUGUCGUAGUGUCAUCACAAGUUUACUUUCUUGAGCAACAGAAUGACGGUUUGUCGAAUUUUGAUCGUACGGCGUAUGACUGCAAUUUGGGAUUGGUGCGUUUGUUCGACCGUGGGAAAUUUGCGUGGGUUGGUCCUUGUGAAAAUGUGGUA